ACUUCCAGUCAUUGGCUUCCGUGGUGUCAGCAAAAUGGUCUGCGGUGCAAAUGCCGACCGAGCAAACAUUGUAAUAACGCUGAGUUGACUACAGCGAGAGAUGGGAGGAAGCAAUGUUAUAAAUUUCAGGGUCCAUUCAGAACCCAGAAUGAGACACGAGAGUUGAGUUCUGGGACAAAAUUAUCAUAGCCGAGACUGCUGAGGUGAUGAUGCGCAUCUAAUAAUUUUUGUUUAUUGAAGAAAACCUCAUCCUUCUCUCCAUCAUCUGUGGGGACGAUCCUGCUCUUGGCUUCCUGAGGUCAUCAUGACACACAAGCUGGCCCACAUGCUUCCCGUCCCACCAGUGGCAAAUACUGCCUCAUCAUACUAACGCUGCCAUGGAUGGAGCUACUUCACCAUGUCUUCCUCCAACAUGCUGGACUGAAAUUCUUGUGAGCCCAAUUCAAUCCUUCCUCCGCCAUGUUGGUUCUGUCAGGUAGUCUGUUCACAGCAAUGACAGCAACUAACCCAGUGAUUGUCUUACCUUCUCUACAGACCUCUUCCCACAACCCUUNNNNNNNNNNNNNNNNNNNNNNNNNNNNNNNNNNNNNNNNNNNNNNNNNNNNNAGAACCCUGUUGGUUUUUUAGAGCAGGGAUACAGGACAGAGCAAGAGAGGAGGAACCAGGGGUCAUAGGGAGCUCAGAGGGCCUUAGCCCCACCCUUCAGGGAGAUGAGAGUCAGAGAUACAGGAAAUGGGUCUGCCAGAGCGCUGGCACCAGUGUGUCAAUAUUUGUUCGUGUUUGUGAGGCCAGGUUUAAAGGACAAACAUCACCGAGUUAACGUUAGUACUGUUUCCUCCAACAGAUAGGGGAGGACAACGAAAAGAAAAGGAUGAACUAGCCAACAGGUGGAUGUCCUCAGUCUCUCCCUGACUGUGCCAGGUUCUUGUGGGUGACAUACAUCACCCACUGUUUGCUCCAGUCCUCUUAGCGCGAGGGGCUUCACUGACACUACCCCUACAACCUCCCCACAGGGACAACUACCUACAUCCCUCUCUCUCUUUUCAGAAUUGUUAUUCUGAGGUUUGUUGAUUUAGUUUUCCCCAAACCAAGAAGUUGUUAGUUGGCUUUUCCUUGAAACUUCAGUCAAAUACAAGUUUCCGGUCAUGUGACACAGACUCACGUGACGUGUUGUUGAGGAAACACCCAUGAGAGGACACAUGAUGUUUGGAGAGAGUAUAAUAAGACUCAGCGGGCAGGGUGUUCGUAUAGCUAGCCUUGCAAUGCUUCGGUUGGUCCUAUCACUCCCACUGACUCCUGCUGAUUUGGCAGAGGCCUAGCAUUUUUUUUUUUUUUUUCUGGAUCACGCCACCAUUGCUGAUUUGUGUUUGGUGACACUUUUAAACUUGGCUGUUGGUAUCCUAACACUACUGAACUGGACUGUUGGUAUCCUGACAAACGGAGAUUGGAAUCAGCCCAAAGAACUGCUUCUGGACAAGUCCACAUCCCUUUGCCCUAUGUACCAUCUUUUCUUCCCUACCCUUGAAUGGUGGGCUAGAAGGGGGAUCAAAACAUUUGAGAACCCUUAUUAAAGUAGGUUUUGAAAAAUCU
ensembl:antisense